rnacentral:rRNA from 1 species
UGAGGAAUAUUGGGCAAUGCCCGCAAGGGUGACCCAGCAACGCCGCGUGGAGGAUGAAUGUCGUAAGAUUGUAAACUCCUGUUAGAGGGGAAGAAUAGUACCGGUUGGACCGGUAUAUGACUGUACCCUCAGAGAAAGCCCCGGCUAACUACGUGCCAGCAGCCGCGGUAAUACGUAGGGGGCAAGCGUUGUCCGGAUUUACUGGGUGUAAAGGGCGCGCAGGCGGGAUAAAAAGUCAGUGGUGAAAUCCUACAGCUUAACUGUAGAACUGCCUUUGAUACUUUUAUUCUUGAGUUCGGGAGAGAGAGACGGAAUUCCAGGUGUAGUGGUGAAAUACGUAGAUAUCUGGAAGAACACCAGUUGCGAAGGCGGUCUCUUGGUCCGACACUGACGCUGAGGCGCAAAAGCGUGGGGAGCGAACA